UAUAAUCCCAGAGCGCGGCAGUUAUCGUUCGAGAAUUAAUCUUUUUCGAAAUGUGUUGCAAAUGUCCACCGUUCACCACCCUCGCCGUCUACCUCCUCCUGUCGAUUCUAAUAGGUUUUUACUUGCACAAAGCGGAGGGAUCGAGCGCUUCCGGACUAAUUUCAAUUAAAUCCUGCAGUGAGACUUUCUUAAUUAAUCUCGCUGCAAAGGGCCACCUCAAUUGAUUUUAUUGUCUGUUUAAAUGUGAAAUAAACUAUUCCUGGCCUUGCCCACA